GGAUCAUUACGGGGUUUAUUCGGUUUGAGAAAGGGUAACACCAACUGUAUUUUCCAGUUUGGUGGAAUGUCACCUGUCAUAAAAAUCCCGUUAAUAAUAUUGAGAAAGUAACCUAUAACCUUGUCACUAGAAUGUUUCAAAAAUGAAUAUGGAAUACCGUCGCAACCUGGUGCGGAAUCAAUGACAUACGAUAAGACAUUCUUUAGCUCCAAUAACGAGAAUGGAUCAUUAAAACGCUGCAUGUUAUCAUUAUCAAUAUUGGUUGGGGAAGCCAGUUCAAUACACACGGGGGAUGGGACGAAUGGAGGAGCUAAUUUAUCUAAAAACUUCUCAGCUACUUUAGGAUCAAGAUUAAGGGUGUUAUUUUCUACAAAAGCUCCUCUAAACAUUCUAACCUUUCUCCAAACUUCUGACGGCUUCUGAACAUUCAGAAUCCCACCAUGGAGGGCUGGGAAUAUUGAAUUUAGAGGACUUCUUACGCGGAAAUACUUCAUCAGCUAUAUUAAUUAUAAACUUAGCAAAAGCAUCAGAAGUUUUAAACAAAUGUUCCCGAGAUACAUCAGGUAAUUCACUCAACCUCUCAUCCAUAUGUUUGCGAAACUUAUCCCAAUCUGCAUUUUGAAGUUUAUAUGCUAACAGUGGAGAUCUUUUAAGUACUGGUUUAUUUUUAAUAGGAAAAGAAAUAAGAAUUGGAAAAUGAUCACUGCCAUAGGAAAGUGGAAGUACCUCCCACAAUAAGGAAUGUGAAAUGGAAGAACUACAAAUUGAUAAAUCUAAUGCACUAGGAUUUUCAUUGGGAGCAGACCGACGCGUGGGAACACCAGAAUUUAAUAUACAUAAAUUAUAAUAAUCAA